rnacentral:rRNA from 1 species
GUUGAACGCUGGCGGCAGGCCUAACACAUGCAAGUCGAGCGGAUGACGGGAGCUUGCUCCUUGAUUCAGCGGCGGACGGGUGAGUAAUGCCUAGGAAUCUGCCUGGUAGUGGGGGACAACGUUUCGAAAGGAACGCUAAUACCGCAUACGUCCUACGGGAGAAAGCAGGGGACCUUCGGGCCUUGCGCUAUCAGAUGAGCCUAGGUCGGAUUAGCUAGUUGGUGGGGUAAUGGCUCACCAAGGCGACGAUCCGUAACUGGUCUGAGAGGAUGAUCAGUCACACUGGAACUGAGACACGGUCCAGACUCCUACGGGAGGCGGCAGUGGGGAAUAUUGGACAAUGGGCGAAAGCCUGAUCCAGCCAUGCCGCGUGUGUGAAGAAGGUCUUCGGAUUGUAAAGCACUUUAAGUUGGGAGGAAGGGCAGUAAGUUAAUACCUUGCUGUUUUGACGUUACCGACAGAAUAAGCACCGGCUAACUCUGUGCCAGCCGCCGCUGUAAGAC